UUUCACCUCUUCCUAAAAAAAAACUCAAAAAAAUGCUCUCAAAAGCCUGCCUGUCCUCAGAGCUCUGAUCGAACUCCGAUCAUCGGGCCUCGCCGUCCUACGCCGUCUCCGCCACCGUUCACGAUGGUCGAAGUUCCCAAAAGUGAGUUUUACGCUCCUUAAAGCUUCCCAAAGCCCAAUCCGACGGUGUUCGAGGAGAGUAGACCACCGGCAUUGAUUUGCGCGCCGAUUACGGCAUAACACGGAGCCUAGAAUCACGGCACCGAUGAAGGGUAGCUGAAAUGACGAGAUUUGAAGAGGCACAACUCUUGGGGUACUUGCGGCGCGAAGCUUCUGGAAACCCUAGGGUUUCCAGAUUCUAUUUAGGCGUUGGGCCUUGUUAAUUUUGGGCCGUUGAGUUGUUUCAAGGGUGUAAUGGGUAUAGGGUAGUGGUAGGCUUACGGGGUUGUAACCGGGUUCUAGGUUAACUAGGUAUUACCUUGUAAUUGGGCCUCGGGUAGACUUAAAUUUUUGGGCUCUGUAUAUGGACUAUUUAAAACAGUAAACAUUCAUUUAUUUUUUA